GCCCGCCUAGCUCAAUCGGAUAGAGCGUCAGACUUUUACGGUCGUACGUGGCGGUGAUCUGAAGGCUGCGAGUUCGACCCUCGCGGUGGGCU
rfam:Pisolithus microcarpus 441 unplaced genomic scaffold scaffold_8, whole genome shotgun sequence.